GACGGAGGGUGCAAGCGUUAUUCGGAAUUAUUGGGCGUAAAGAGCGUGUAGGCGGCCGGUUAAGUCAGGUGUGAAAGCCCGGGGCUCAACCUCGGAAGUGCACUUGAAACUGGUCGGCUUGAGUUCGGGAGAGGGAAGCGGAAUUCCGGGUGUAGAGGUGAAAUUCGUAGAUAUCCGGAGGAACAUCGGUGGCGAAGGCGGCUUCCUGGACCGAAACUGACGCUGAGACGCGAAAGCGUGGGGAGUAAACAGG
rnacentral:rRNA from 1 species